rnacentral:rRNA from 1 species
CCCUUAGAUGUUCGGGGCCGCACGCGCGCUACACUGAAGGAAUCAGCACGUCUUUCUCCUUGUCCGAAAGGACUGGGUAACCCGCUGAACCUCCUUCGUGCUAGGGAUUGGGGCUUGUAAUUCUUCCCCAUGAACGAGGAAUUCCCAGUAAGCGCGAGUCAUAAGCUCGCGUUGAUUACGUCCCUGCCCUUUGCACACACCGCCCGUCGCUACUACCGAUUGGAUGGUUUAGUGAGAUCCUCGGAUUGGUCCCGGCGCGGCCUCUGGUCGUGCCGGAGUGCCGAAAAGAAUGUCGAACUUGAUCAUCUAGAGGAAGUAAAAGUCGUAACA